AACGUAGGAGGCGAGCGUUAUCCGGAUUUACUGGGCGUAAAGCGCACGCAGGCGGCCGGGUGAGUCGGAUGUGAAAGCUCCUGGCUUAACUGGGAGAGGCCAUUCGAUACUGCCUGGCUUGAGGUUGGGAGAGGGGUGUGGAAUUCCCGGUGUAGUGGUGGAAUGCGUAGAGAUCGGGAGGAACACCAGUGGCGAAGGCGGCAACCUGGCCCACACCUGACGCUGAGGUGCGAAAGCGUGGGGAGCAAACAGG
rnacentral:rRNA from 1 species